rnacentral:rRNA from 1 species
GGCUGUCGUCAGCUCGUGUCGUGAGAUGUUGGGUUAAGUCCCGCAACGAGCGCAACCCACGUCUUUAGUUGCCAGCAUUAAGUUGGGCACUCUAGAGAGACCGCCGGUGAUAAACCGGAGGAAGGUGUGGAUGACGUCAAGUCAUCAUGCCCCUUACAUCCUGGGCUACACACGUACUACAAUGCUACGGACAAAGGGCAGCAAACUCGCGAGAGCUAGCAAAUCCCAUAAACCGUGGCUCAGUUCAGAUCGUAGGCUGCAACUCGCCUACGUGAAGGAGGAAUCGCUAGUAAUCGCAGGUCAGCAUACUGCGGUGAAUACGUUCCCGGGCCUUGUACACACCGCCCGUCACACCAUGGAAGUUGGCCACGCCCGAAGUCGUUACUCCAACCCUUGUGGAGGAGGAUGCCGAAGGUGGGGCUGAUGACUGGGGUGAAGUCGUAACAAGGUAGCCGUACCGGAAGGUGCGGCUGGAUCACCUCCUAA